AUUCAAAAACUAAAGUAAUACACUUUAUACAGAAACCAAAUUUAAGAUUUAAACACAAUCUCAAAUGGAAAAAAUAAUUCUUAUUUAAGAAAUAGAAAUCUAAAUUUAGAGUCAAAAUUUAUUUGUGAGAUAUAAGUAAAUUUCACAAAGAUUUAUUGCAUCCUAAAGAAACACAAGUAAUGAAAGCAAACAAUUUUUCAUUUUUUUAUCAUCCUCUGCAUUAAGUUUUAGUUUGACAUUCUGAAAUUCUUUUAUUUCACUCUAAUAUAUUUGUAGGCUCUAUGGUAUGUAUAAAGUUUGCUUUAAAAGAAAAAUAAUGUUUAUCAUUGUUAUAAAAAAAAAUUCACAAAUAAAUAAAGGGAAUGUGACACGUUUAGGCACUUUUAGAGAAUUUUAUUCCAUUUGAGGCACUUUGCAGAGAUGAGGCACUUUUUCAACUUUUUCAUCGAAUUUAUGACAAAUUUGCCCCUAAAAGUGAAAACGAAAAUACUUUAGCGUUUGGAAGUUGGUAUAUGAUGAGUGGGUCGUUGGAUGGAAGUUGUAGCUAUUAUCAGAUUAUAUAUAUAAUUUAAUUACUCAAAAAAGUAUAAUGAAUAUUAUUUCUCUAUUUGUACUUUUUUUCUUCGUCUUCUUCAUUGUCUACUUUUUUUCUUCUUCAUCGACUCUUCUUCUUCUUUUCUUUCUCUAUCUAUCUCUUUCUUCAUCUUUCAGUCUUUCCUUGCAAAAUCAAACAUGAGAGAAUUUGUCAAAAUCGUGUAGCUUCUGUAUUUUCCUUUACGGAGAAGCCUCUCUAGAUUUAAGUGACGAUUAGGCUUAUUCGAUUGGUUUCGGAGCGGCAGCGCUUGUGACUAACAGCGGAAGCUUGAGUGUAGCAGACAAUAACAUCUAGAGGUGAAAGAAGAAAAGGAUUUGUUCCCUCAAUCUUACAACCAAUCGAUCCAGCUUUUGCGAUUAUUCUUCAAUUCUAUGAAUAGAAUUUAGAGUUUUGUUAGAUUGUGUAAAUAUCUGAUUCAUAUUUGCGAAAUUGUGCUUGUGAAGACGAUGAGAUCGGUUGCAGAUUGAAAGUUCCUCUUUCCUUACUCUCCUUUGUUUCAGAUCUGUUGCAAGAAGGCGACGAGAGAGGCGGUGAUAACGUAACGUGAGACGUUACUCGACUUACUUAAUUUGGAUUUUGAAAUUCCACCUGAGAAUUUAAACUCUCUCCCGAAAAAGAAGAAGAAAUGGCAGCGUACAUGGAAGAGAUUCCGUGAGAACAAAAAUUGUUCGGAGUAACCUCGAUAAUACGGGGUUACGGAGAUGCAAGGUCCUCGUUACUCUGUUCUAUUCCAUGGAGCACCAGAUUGGCAAAUUCCAGUAUUGAAUUUCAUAUCCAUAUGAUCAGCUUGUUUGGUACCAUUUGAUUCUAGCUUGAUAAAUUGAUGUUUCGUUGAACCUCUAAGCUAAGAGCACUUUACUUCGCACAUGAGAAUAAAUCAUUUCCACAUGGUCACAUCUUGUUGGACAAGUUUUCAUGGACACAAACUAUCAAAGCAUCCAACACGAUUUCAUUAUGUAUAAACUAAUAAUCCUAUAGGUCUCCAAGCCCCAAGAACAAUAUGUAGACAUUGCUUUCAAAUAGCAACCCUCAAAACCCAAUUAGUUAAUGAUAGUUUGUAUCCAUUAUAACUUGUCCAAUUAAACUUUAACAUGUGGAGUAAUGGUGAAACAUGACAAACACUUGAACACAAAUGAUUCAUGUGUAGAGCUUUCAUCAAUUUUCUAUCGAAUGAAAAAGAGUGUCAUGGUGAUGCAAGAAUCACAACUUAGUCAAAACAAAUCAUGCGUCUUUUUCUUAUUCAACACAGUAUCCACAAUAACAAUACAUUACUUACACAAAAGAACGAGACCCAUCAAACAUGCUUUCAUAUAAAGACAAAACCAUACCAACUAAAACCCAAAAUCUUAUUAACAUGCUUUCUUUCACGUAUUCUUUUCUCUGCAUUUGUUAUUCUUACAGAUCCAUAAUAAUGUGUUCAUUUCAAAUGUGUUCAUACGGAAUCUUGUUUACUAAGCAUAUCCAUCACCCCAAGUCCAUACAACCAUGUCUACACCGUUGUAGAAUCACAAUACACAAUUUCUAUAAAAAAGCAUAAGUAAUAACCACCAAUUUCAAAAACUAUGUCCACUACGAUGCUUUGCGUUUAUAUUCUAACCCUUUACAAGUAGCCAUCCACUAGCGACCAUUCAAUGUUGACCAUAUAGUUGUAGGGAUCAAUUACAAUUUUCUUGUAAAUGGUUAGAGUUAUGACCAUAUGAUGUAUCAUUGUAGAAUGCGCAAACAAAAGAAAGUGCUAAUUUACCGAGAUAUAAACACAUUCACAGCAAAUCAAAGACAUAGUUGUUGUCCAUUGAUGACAGUCCAAAAAAUGUAGUCCAUAUGGUUAUCUAAUGAUUCACAUGGUAGUUUUAUUUCAAUAAACAAGUCUAUACAUGACCAAUAAACGCCAAUCCAAAGUACAUUAUCCAUUUUUCUUUGACCAUUUAUUCACUUGUGUAUAAACAAUCCCAUCAGUAGGACAAUGUCAGUUAUAUAGCUUUUAUAAAGAAUUUAACGAAGAUCUUAUCACUCUCAAUGAAGACCAUUAGUUCACUUGGAUAAACCCGUCUAUACUAAUCAUUUGUAAUAGGUAUAAGAUAGAAGGAUGUGUCCAUUGCCAUAAACUACAGAUUUUUAUUCAAUAGAAAUUCAACAAAUAUACAUCUAUUGUAUAACGUCAUAACUCACAAAAGUUACUUUGAUUUUCAUCGUGUCUCAACCUCUCGUUUAUUUCUUCAUCUUGACUUUGAAUUAGAAGUGAUUACUCUCAGGAAAUCAAAUCAAUCAGAAACAAUACUUUCAAAUUUAUAGAUCUGAUGUGGAAUAAGAUUAAGAACUUUCUAAUUUUGUAUAUCAGAGAUACCAGAGUAAUUAGGAGCAGAGAGGCACCAAACGAAGCGACGAAUAAGGCAUAAAGCUCCCUCCGCCACCGCCACCACCAACUACGUACGCCAUCAUGUCUUGAUUAGCUUUUCAAAAACAAUCAUAGCAAGGAAUCAAAGCAAAUAUGUCGGAGAUUAGAAGAUAAAGCCCUCAUUUUUGAACUUUGAUUUUUCGUAAAAGAUUUGAUAUUGGUUUUGGAAAUAGAAAAAUAAAAACGAUGAAGAAGCGCUGAGAAGAUAUGACAAAGAGAAUGAGUUUGCAGUUAAAAAGGGUAAAUUGGACAAUUUGGUUUGGCAAAGUGCCUUAUCUUUUCAAAGUGUCUAAAUCCGUACAUAGUUUUUUAAAAGUGCCCUAGAAUGUAAUAUUUUCAUAAAUAAAUCUAUGGUAGUAUAAAAACUAUAAAUCUUAGAAACAAAAAUAUAUAAUGGUAUAAUAUGAGGCAAGCCCACUUUAAUUGGUUGUAUAUCUAACUUUUAUCUAAAAGUUUUUCAAAAAUAAAUAAAUAAAUAGAUAUAUUAAUAUCCAUUUCUCUCUAGAGUUUGUAACAUCUAAUACCUAAAU
rnacentral:sRNA from 1 species